AAGGUGCGCAUUGAGACCCACCGCGCCGCGACGAUGGGUGUGUGGGAGCAUCAGCGCACCGAGA
rfam:Trypanosoma vivax Y486, WGS project CAEX01000000 data, contig: 4937